CCAUCCUUUCUCUUAUUUAUAAAGCUCAUGCACAGGAACUUUUGAGUGUGGCCACAAAACAAGGGAGGUGAAGGAGAGGGGAAGGGGGUCUUGCAGGAGGGAAGGCACCACACCUCCAGAAGAUCAGGAGCUUAAACAAAUGAGGCCUAAUUAGUCAGCAGACAUGGAUACGUAUGGAGUGAUUUCAUAACCAAAUGAAAUUCCAGGAAAGGAAGAGGAGAACAGAUUGAAUCUGGGUACCUUGUAAGGAUCGGACGGCGAGUGGGUAAUCUGCCUUUACCAUCGGUCCUAUUUUCCAACGACAGAACAUGCGCCUCUGGUAAGACAAGGGGUGGCUAUCGAUGUAAACAACAGAUGGUGCACGAAAUCUAAGGAAGUCUCGAUGUUUGCUUGCCUGAGCUUGUAGCGGCACAACCGAGGGUGAGAAAAAUAGGCCAGCCAAGAAAAUAAAUACCCUUCAGUGGAAAGGAGAGUUUUGCAAGAGAAGGAGGGUAAAUCUUACCUUGGCAAGAAAAAUAUGAUUGUCGACUUUGGCAAUUGAGUUCUGCACUGAUUGAUUUUUUAUUACCAACAUUCUUACCUGAAUACCUACGUUGAUGUUUAAUUACAUGCUGAAAUGUGUCAUGAUUGAUAGUGAAAUUUUGAUAUUGUUGUAAUAAAUUACCUGACUCUCCUUGAUAUUUCUUUCAGAGUGAAAAAUGAAACAUCACACUUGUAAGUCUUUUUAGUACGCAUUCACCACCACGAGCUUGAAAUUAUAUUGUGAAAUACAUUUAUUAAUGCUAUUGAAAUUGUAAAAUUAUUCCAAUGUCUCGAGUACCAUUUUCUUUAUGAAAUUAAGCACAUUGAUAUAUAUUAAGUCAACUUUGAAUAAGACCGUCAUUUAAAUUGUACAGCCUACAGACUGUUUGAUGUCAGUCUUCAUCGGAAACGACCUGUGCUGGAGGACAUCUGCAAGACGGCGCUGGCAGGCUUAAAAUAUUAAAUUCAUGUAAAAUGAA